AAAGGCGAUAUCACUUUCAAGAAGGUGGUUUUCCCAGAGUGAGGCUUAUCCAAGGCACUCAGGCUGCCCUGAUCCCUUGAAUUUCUUCAAAUUUGGGAAAUUCAAACAGAUGAUUUGUGGUAGUGGAGAACUGCCUUAGCUUCCCCCAU
rnacentral:snRNA from 1 species